AUGGCGACCGGAGUAGAAACGACCAUCGACGUGAAACUUUUCGUGGACAAGGAGAGGAACAGGGUGCUCUUCGCGGAGUCCGGCAAGGAGUUCGUCGACGUUCUCUUCGGCUUCAUCACGCUGCCCCUCGGCACCGUCGUCCGCCUCCUCGGCGGGCAGUCUCAGGUGGGAUGCCUGGACGAGCUGUACAGGAGCGUCGAGGGGCUCUCCCCCGACCUGUUCAGGACCGAGGCUUGCAAGGCGAUGCUGCUCAGGCCCAUCAACGCCGCAGCGAAGCAGUGCUGUCAGUUGAAGGUCAGAGUCGACGACACCAAGCACAGGGAGGUUUACGUCUGCGGUGACACGAGCUGCAGCGUCACUGCUUUCAGCUCCGUCCCCGGCGUCGUCUGCCGUUGCGGCAAGGUCAUGGCGAAGCUAGCCGGGGAGAGGCCCAUGAAUGGUCGUAAUGCCGCUGCUGCUGGUGCUCCUGAGGAUGGCGUUUUUGUCAAAGGAGGCAUGAAGUUCAUUGUCACCGACGAUCUCAAAGUUGCACCGGCCUCAACCUCUCUCAUGCUGACCCUUUUGGACGAGUUUCAAGUGCCAGAUCCGUCCAGUCUUGAGCAGAGGAUUCUCCAGUUCAGUUCUGACAAGAUAAUUGAUCUGCUCAGGAGGUCAUUAACGUCGCAGAACCCGUUAACCGGUCACCAUCUUGACGUCGCCGUUGCGCCUGAUGAUUCAGUAGUGGACAUGCUCCCUGACUACUUGCAUCCUGAACAAGAUAAUGAGGCUGAGCACUCACUGGUUAAUGCCACUCUAAGGGUUCUUCAGACAAAGAACAACUCCAAGGUGUUGUACGCCGAAGUUGGCGGCGAUUUUGUGGAUCUUCUCUUUGGAUUACUGACCGUACCACUAGGAUCCAUAGCGAAAAAUUAUGGGAAAUCUGCAUCUAAAGGUUGUCUUGAGAAUCUUUACACUAGCAUAGCUGGAAGUGCUGAAGGAUGCUUGAGGCCAGAAUGCCAGAACUUGCUAUUGUCCCCAAUGCUGGCACCUUUCUUUGGCUACGGUGCUAGUAAGAUGCUUUAA
rnacentral:rRNA from 1 species